AAAUUUCAGCCCAUUCCUACACCGUAGUGACAAAUGAAGAAAUUGCCCCAGGCGCGACUUUUGUUUAAGAUCAACCUUUCAAAUUUCAGCCCAUUCCUACACCGUCGCGAAAAAUGACGAAAUUGCCCCUGGCACGAUUUUUGUUUCCGAUCAACCUGUCAAAUUUCAGCCAAUUUCGACACCGUCGUGAUAAAUGACGAAAUUGCACCUGGCGCGGUUUUC
rnacentral:lncRNA from 1 species